GAGACGUCUCCACGACUAGCGCGAGACGUCUCGCCGGGGGGACGUCUCUGUGAUUUGCCAGAGACGUCUCCGGCACUGAAAAUUUUCUGAAUGAUUUCUAUCUUUUCUCAAUUUAUUUUAUUUAACCACACUGAUUUCUUUUGGUGAAUAUAGAGUGAGUUUGUUUGUGAUCCUCCCCUUUAAUAAUACACCCUAUAAAAGUCUGAUAAUGAUUUUUGAAUUAUUAAUAUUGAAAUGAGGAAUGUUUGACCAAAUUUCGAAUACCUAUGAAAUAGGCUCUGAAAAUAUCUCCAUGAAGAGUCCAAGGGAGGGUAACCAUCCUCCGAAAAGUCAAACAAUUCGUCAUUUAACUUAGAUAGAUUUAUGCUUUCACUUAAUAGAUGCUAGGUUUGCUAUUUCUGACCUUGUGGUGAAUUACCAGCUUGAGUAGCAAAGCAUUGCAUUACAAGUUCAAUUUAUUUGCUAGGAUCAAAUAAGCACAAAGCAUUCCUUAAGAAGUU
rnacentral:lncRNA from 1 species